CGGAGCGGGCAGAGGAACGCGCCGGAGGGGGCCGGAGCGCGGCCGCCGUGGCCAGGAGAGGACGGGUCAUCUCACGCCGCGGCCGGAAACCCGAGUUCUGAAGAUCGGAAGUCUAACACGGAUCGCACAAGGCUAAAAGCACAGCAUUGACUUGGCUCUGGGUGGCAUCUGUUUCCUUGCUUUCCCCAGACUGUAGAGGCCACCCACAUUCCUUGUCCGAUGCCCCCCUUUCUCCAUCUAAAAAGCCAACAGUGUUGCAGCUCUUUGUGUCUUUUUUUCAGUCACAUCCUCCUCUGACUGACUCCACCUGCCUCCUUCCACUUUUAAGUUUCCUUCUGAUUACAUUGAGCCUACCUAAGUAAUUCAGGAUAUUCUCCCAAUUUUAAGGCCCGCUGAUCAACAAUCUUAAUUUUCCUUUGCCAUGUAACCUAACACGGUCAGAUUCUGGGGACUAGGAUGUGGAUGUCAUCGGUGGAGGGGACGACAUUAUUCUGCCUGCCAAACGUGAAUAUUGUGUUUCAAGAUGCUUUUCGGACUGAGAAGGACAGCCUUUUUCAAUACUAUACAUAAUAUACCAUCCCCGAGGAAGAGAAGUUUUCAGGCUGUCCAGUGUCAAUAUAUCUAGAUGAGAUCAGUCGAAACUGUUAUUCAUUUAUGGAAGCAAGACUAAGGUUUUGUAGUCUUCACAAAUUAUUCAGCGACUUUGCGAGUCUGUGUACUAAGAAUAGUUUCAGUUUUAAUGUCAAAAUGUCACUCAAUUUUUUUAACCUUUUUGAUUAUUUUUAUGUCUAUUUUAUCAAAUUUUAUAUCUACAUGGUAGCUAAUUCCAUUGUGUAGAGAAGCAGAUGAUGAAAAUAAGUACCCUCUACCUUUCCAGCCAUAGGCCCGCUCUCCAGAGCAAACCUGGUAUAGCUUUUUGGAUUUUAGUUCUUCCAAAAGACCUCUGUAACUUCUGGUGACUUCUGUAACUUUAAAUAAAACUAGUAUGUAGUUUUUGUGAAUUAAUAUUGCCUCAUAAGUUUUAAAGUACACAGUACAUGAGCUGGGUGGAGUUCUUUGGAUAAAUGUGUAUCAGUGAGAGUUUAGUUGCAGGAAACACAAACCAUUCUUGGCACAUUAAAAAGUAGGAUUGUUAAAAUGGAGAUGCUUGUAACAUUGUUGGAAAGGCUGGAGGGUCUCCAGAAUUGACUCCCAGACAAACACUGCAGGUCUGGCUUGCCAGGGGAGCUGCUACCCCCACAACAAUGAGAAAGGUGGAGAAUCAGGGCCUGCCAGCAUCACACAACCGCCUCUUAACAACUGCUAACGUUCUGCUGCACAGAAACUAAACGUCUCCUCAACUACACGUGCGAGCAGAAAACAAGCAAGAAGACGGCUCUCCAAUUUCACCUUCCAAAUCUCACACAAGGACAUCUAAUCAAUGGAACCCGGCUCAUAUUCAGAACUAGCUGCGAAAGGACUUUGGGAAAUGUGACUUCUCUGCUUUUCAGCCUCUGCUUUAUAGGAAGGCACACCAGGAGGAUGGGACGGAUGUUGGGUAUCGGAUGACUUUAUUUACUGCCAUCCAUUUCUUUGUCUAGUCAACACGCAUACAUAUUUUCUACCCGUUCAUAAACAUCUGUGUAACAAUGACAACUGUAACUUAUCAAUGUAAAAACUAUUAUUCCCCUUCUUUAUAAAAGGAGCUUUAAAGAUCUA